AACGUAGGACGCAAGCGUUAUCCGGAGUUACUGGGCGUAAAGCGCGUGCAGGCGGCCAACCAAGUCUGAUGUGAAAUCUCUUCGCUCAACGGAGAGAGGCCAUUGGAAACUGGUCGGCUGGAGGGCAGUAGAGGUAGGCGGAAUUCCGGGUGGAGUGGUGAAAUGCGUAGAGAUCCGGAGGAACACCAGAGGCGAAGGCGGCCUACUGGGCUGCACCUGACGCUGAGCCGCGAAAGCCAGGGGAGCGAACGGG
rnacentral:rRNA from 1 species